GACGAACGCUGGCGGCGUGCUUAACACAUGCAAGUCGAGCGGAAAGGCCCCUUUGGGGGUACUCGAGCGGCGAACGGGUGAGUAUCACGUGAGUAAUCUGCCCUUGGCUUCGGGAUAGCUUCGGGAAACCGAGAUUAAUACCGGAUAUGACCACUCCCCGCAUGGGGUGGUGGUGGAAAGUUUUUCGGCCAGGGAUGUGCUCGCGGCCUAUCAGCUUGUUGGUGGGGUAAUGGCCUACCAAGGCUUCGACGGGUAGCCGGCCUGAGAGGGUGACCGGCCACACUGGGACUGAGACACGGCCCAGACUCCUACGGGAGGCAGCAGUGGGGAAUAUUGGACAAUGGGCGGAAGCCUGAUCCAGCAACGCCGCGUGAGGGAUGACGGCCUUCGGGUUGUAAACCUCUUUCACCACCGACGAAGCGUGAGUGACGGUAGGUGGGGAAGAAGCACCGGCCAACUACGUGCCAGCCGCCGCCGUAACAC
rnacentral:rRNA from 1 species